GACGAACGCUGGCGGCGUGCUUAACACAUGCAAGUCGAACGGAAAGGCCCUGCUUUUGUGGGGUGCUCGAUUGGCGAACGGGUGAGUAACACGUGAGUAACCUGCCCUUGACUUUGGGAUAACUUCAGGAAACUGGGGCUAAUAUCGGAUAGGAGCUCCUGCUGCAUGGUGGGGAUUGGAAAGUUUCGGCGGUUGGGGAUGGACUCGCGGCUUAUCGGCUGGUUGGUGGGGUAGUGGCUUACCAAGGCUUCGACGGGUAGCCGGCCUGAGAGGGUGACCGGCCACAUGGGUACUAAGAGACGGCGCAGUAGGCUACGGGAGGCAGCAGUCGGGAGUAUGGCACAAUGGGCGGGAGCCAGAUGCAGCAACGCCGCGUGCGGAAUGACGGCCUUCGGGUUGUAAACCGAUUUCGCAUGUGACGAAGCGUGAGUGACGGUAAUGAGUAAAGAAGCACCGGCUAACUACGUG
rnacentral:rRNA from 1 species